CAAAGUGCUGGGAUGACACACAUGAGACACUGCACCCAGCCACAAUCUGAUUUUCAUACACAGAGGAGGAUAGUUAACAUGGCAGUGGAAUGGGGCAUUAUGCAUGGAAGGUAGGAGGACUGCAGGUGGAGGGCAGGGCCCAGGGAGUCCAGGAUUGGAGCUGGGAAGAGGAUCAUGAAAGGGAGAGGGUGGGAGGCAGAGGGGGAGCUAGAUUUCACUGGACACCACAUAAAGCAAUCCCAGUUUUCCAGAUGUACAAAUGUCAGAUGCAUGAGCAGUGCUUUGUGUAAUGCAAUUUCCCUUUUAAGAUGAACACUUUAAGGGCCUUGAAAAGAGGCUGGUUUUCUCUUUCGGAUGCUGCCUAUUUGAAAUGCAUGUGGAGCCAGCUCUCAAGGUCAGGGCUGUGCGCUGGAAGCCUUCUCCAUGUUGGUAACGACAUUAGGAGGCGGAGCCUUUGGGCAGUGAUGAGGUCAUGGGAGAGGAUCCUCGUGAUGGAUGAGUGCCCUUAUGAAAGCGGCUUCAAGGAGCCUGUUGGCCCCUUCCACCAAGUGAGGACACAUGUAAGGCACCGUCUGUGAGGAACAGGCCCUCACCAGACACCUGAUCUGCUGCCGGACUGAUCUUGAUCUUGGACUUCGCAGCCUUCAGAACUACAUUUAUUUACCAUAAGAAAGUCGGCACGCUUUAUCACUGGGAUCUAACAAGGCCUAAGGAGACAUCUGCUAUGCACGCGUUGGUGUUGGUCUUCUUCUGACUGGAACCAGCAUCUUCUGGGCCCGGAAUGACCACGACUUCGAACUCCUCCUGAUGCAGCUGAGCCUGAGACAUCUCCCAGAAAGGGCUCU